rnacentral:rRNA from 1 species
GCUCAGCCGGGGAGGGUCAUUGGAAACUGGGGAACUUGAGUGCAGAAGAGGAGAGUGGAAUUCCACGUGUAGCGGUGAAAUGCGUAGAGAUGUGGAGGAACACCAGUGGCGAAGGCGACUCUCUGGUCUGUAACUGACGCUGAGGCGCGAAAGCGUGGGGAGCGAACAGGAUUAGAUACCCUGGUAGUCCACGCCGUAAACGAUGAGUGCUAAGUGUUAGAGGGUUUCCGCCCUUUAGUGCUGCAGCAAACGCAUUAAGCACUCCGCCUGGGGAGUACGGUCGCAAGACUGAAACUCAAAGGAAUUGACGGGGGCCCGCACAAGCGGUGGAGCAUGUGGUGUAAUUCGAAGCAACGCGAAGAACCUUACCAGGUCUUGACAUCCUCUGACAACCCUAGAGAUAGGGCUUCCCCUUCGGGGGCAGAGUGACAGGUGGUGCAUGGUUGUCGUCAGCUCGUGUCGUGAGAUGUUGGGUUAAGUCCCGCAACGAGCGCAACCCUUGAUCUUAGUUGCCAGCAUUCAGUUGGGCACUCUAAGGUGACUGCCGGUGACAAACCGGAGGAAGGUGGGGAUGACGUCAAAUCAUCAUGCCCCUUAUGACCUGGGCUACACACGUGCUACAAUGGGCAGAACAAAG